UCACUCCUCACAACCCCAGGGCAGCUCUUUCUGCCCACGGGUCCUGUUCCCCAUGCUUUAAUAAAACCACCUUUUUGCACCAAAGACGUCUCAAGAAUUCUUUCUUAGCCAUUGGCUCAAGAACCCCAUCAUUUCUGCAAUCCUUACACAGGGCUUGGAGUCUUUUCAUCUGGGCUCUGAGCUGGUGCAAACCCGGUCACCAUUGGAAACGCUGGUUAUUUUACCAAGGCUUUGACUGGAAUGUCAUAUUUGCGAGACAUGCAUAGACUCAGAUAUGACCCUACGGCUCUAAGGAGCUAAGGUUGACUUUAUAAAACCUGGAGCCAUAAAGCCCCUUGGAAAUGUUGGCCUGAUACCUUGUUUACAGCGUUCCCAGCAGCCUUACCAGACAACUCGAGGCAAACUUCAGAGAAAUUAUCACAAAACUCAUAUAUAGACCAUCUUUGUGCCUGGUGCUCGAUGGGCCAUUCCAAGGGAUCGCCACAGACAUUUGAGUUACAAGCCAGAAAAACCCAUCUGAUUCCCGCUGCCUGGUCCCACUCCCUCUGAGAUGCCGCAAGCCUGACAUCUAAAAGUCUUCUCACUGGCAGCCGCUGGGUUUGUAACUUGCUCCAACCAUUCACCUAUAUUUUUCUUGUCUCUAUGAAAGUCCUUCUUAUUAAUUACCUGAUUGUUUCCUAAACAAAACGAAGCCUAGAUGAUGGUUAACACCACCUGUUGCCCAAUCAAGGCCUUAAAUGACUCUCAAAAUCACAUUAUAUUACCAAACACUAAAAUAACUCAAAUGCAUAGAACCGUUCUACAAAAUAGAAUGGCAUUAGAUGUUUUAGCUGCUGCACAAGGUGGAACUUGAGCUCUGAUAAAAACAGAACGCUGCGUAUACAUUCCAGAUCAUCAUCGAAAUAUUUCUGGAUU